CAAGUGGGAGUACUCCUUCUAAGCUAAAUAUCACCACGAGACCGAUAGCGAACAAGUACCGUGAGGGAAAGUUGAAAAGCACUCUGAAUAGAGAGUCAAAAAGUACGUGAAACUGCCUAGGGCUCAAGCCCGUUGAACUCGAUUAUCCGAGCGGAGACAUUCACCUGCGGCCGGGCCACUGGUCCGCUGCAGGGCACUUGUCUCCCGCGCCUACACGAGGACAUUGCGAUCCAUUACGAAACAGCUUCUGCGUCGCAAGACGCAAGGUCGCCCGACAGUUGCCCCUUGGUGCCGGUUGCUUGCCCCACCGUAGCGACGCUCAGUUCCGAAGGCCUGUGCCGCGAGCUGGGGCUUACUGCACGUGGUGUUUGCAGUCGGGCGCGUGAUGGAUUCCAGCGUACACCGUCGGCCUUCCCGCAACGGGCCGGCGGACUGUCGAUCGGCAAUGAUAAAAUCGAGGUACCUCCGGGACCCGUCUUGACCACGGAAA
rnacentral:rRNA from 1 species